rnacentral:rRNA from 1 species
AACGAACGCUGGCGGCAUGCCCAACACAUGCAAGUCGAACGAGAUCUUCGGGUCUAGUGGCGCACGGGUGCGUAACGCGUGGGAAUCUGCCCUUUGGUUCGGAAUAACAGUUGGAAACGACUGCUAAUACCGGAUGAUGACGAAAGUCCAAAGAUUUAUCGCCAGAGGAUGAGCCCGCGUAGGAUUAGCUAGUUGGUGUGGUAAAGGCGCACCAAGGCGACGAUCCUUAGCUGGUCUGAGAGGAUGAUCAGCCACACUGGGACUGAGACACGGCCCAGACUCCUACGGGGGGCGGCAGUGGGGAGUAUUGGACAAUGGGGGUAAGCCUGAUCCAGCAAUGCCGCGUGAGGGAUGAAGGCCUUAGGGUUGUAAAGCUCUUUUACCCGGGAUGAUAUGACAGUACCGGGAGAAUAAGCUCCGGCUAACUCCGUGCCAGCCGCCGCAGUAA